AGUAGGGAAUCUUCGGCAAUGGACGAAAGUCUGACCGAGCAACGCCGCGUGAAUGAAGAAGGCCUUCGGGUUGUAAAAUUCUGUUAUAAGGGAAGAAAGACACGAGUAGGAAAUGGCUCGUGAGUGACGGUACCUUAUGAGAAAGCCACGGCUAACUACGUGCCAGCAGCCGCGGUAAUACGUAGGUGGCAAGCGUUAUCCGGAAUUAUUGGGCGUAAAGAGCGCGCAGGUGGUUGAUUAAGUCUGAUGUGAAAGCCCACGGCUUAACCGUGGAGGGUCAUUGGAAACUGGUCAACUUGAGUGCAGAAGAGGGAAGUGGAAUUCCAUGUGUAGCGGUGAAAUGCGUAGAGAUAUGGAGGAACACCAGUGGCGAAGGCGGCUUCCUGGUCUGUAACUGACACUGAGGCGCGAAAGCGUGGGGAGCAAA
rnacentral:rRNA from 1 species